AUUGAACGCUGGCGGCAUGCCUUACACAUGCAAGUCGAACGGCAGCACGGGUGCUUGCACCUGGUGGCGAGUGGCGAACGGGUGAGUAAUACAUCGGAACAUGUCCUGUAGUGGGGGAUAGCCCGGCGAAAGCCGGAUUAAUACCGCAUACGAUCUACGGAUGAAAGCGGGGGACCUUCGGGCCUCGCGCUAUAGGGUUGGCCGAUGGCUGAUUAGCUAGUUGGUGGGGUAAAGGCCUACCAAGGCGACGAUCAGUAGCUGGUCUGAGAGGACGACCAGCCACACUGGGACUGAGACACGGCCCAGACUCCUACGGGAGGCAGCAGUGGGGAAUUUUGGACAAUGGGCGAAAGCCUGAUCCAGCAAUGCCGCGUGGGUGAAGAAGGCCUUCGGGUUGUAAAGCACUUUUGUCCGGAAAGAAAUCCUUGGCCCUAAUACGGUCGGGGGAUGACGGGACCGGAAGAAUAAGCACCGGCUAACUACGU
rnacentral:rRNA from 1 species